CAGCCGCCACGGGAAUACGAGGGGGGCAAGCGUUGUUCGGAAUUAUUGGGCGUAAAGGGUGCGUAGGCGGCUUGACAAGUCUUGUGUGAAAUCUAUGGGCUCAACCCAUAGUCUGCACGGGAAACUGUCGGGCUUGAGAAUGGGAGAGGUGAGUGGAAUUUCCGGUGUAGCGGUGAAAUGCGUAGAUAUCGGAAGGAACACCUGUGGCGAAAGCGGCUCACUGGACCAUUUCUGACGCUGAUGCACGAAAGCUAGGGGAGCAAACAGGAUUAGAUACCCGCGUAGUCCCUGUCUCUUAUAA
rnacentral:rRNA from 1 species